UCUUUGGCAAAUACUGCCACAUACUGUACAGGAAGCGCAUUGCGUUUUCAUAUGUAGUUCAUGCAGUUCACUGAAGGAACGCCGCUGUGGUCACCCCUGCAAACAAACAUAAGGAGACAGGCGGGGUGUGUUUCUGUCAGUCGUCGGUGAAACAGGAUCGUCAGUGUCAGUACUUGACCCGGUUAGUGACGAUUGCACUGAGGGACGAAAACCUCCACCCGGCAUAUUCCUUGGCAACGCAGUUCCUGUAGUGACGGUUGGCCUGUGCAGAGGACACCAAGUGCGGGUGGGGGCUGCUGAUGGGGGCGGUCCUUGCCUGAGUCAUUGACUGGAGGACAUGACCUCUGCGUUGCAGCGCGCUUUAUUUCAUUUCCUGUUGGCUGUGCACAACCCCCUUGCCGCACGAUGGAGCCAGCAAACUGCGGCGUUGGAUGAAGCCAUAUUUGUUGUGGAGAGGCGACGGGGCGGAGUGGGGUGGGGGUGGGGGUGGCAAUUAAUAAACACAGCUGUGCUUGCGGAGCAUCUCAUCCGAGGUGGCUUUUCCCUGUGGCGAUCACGCGCGGUGUGUUGGUUGGUUCCGCGCUGACGAGCCUUCGGGGUCCCACGUAGACGUUCCUUUCUGCUUCAACUGACAAGAGAGAAACAACCGUGCUUGUUAUUAUCCAUGUGAGAGUGAAGAUGUGUCAUGCUCAUCAUUUUCUACAAAUUCCAUCCAAACAAUUCAUUGACCAAAACCUUGCAACCUCUCUUGGGAUUUUGACCCCCAGAUUCUUUUUAUUUAUCUUCAUGCAUAACUGCAUGAUAACUGAUUUCACAAAGAUUAAGUAUAUUAUUAUAUGAACUAGAGUGGCAUCUCACCGUGAUUUUAAUCAUGGAUUAUUCUGUCGAUUGCUUUUUUUUUUUCUUUCAAAUAAUUGAUGCAUCAUUCAAAAAUGGUACCUUAUUUCUAAUUGACAGUGCAGGAAAGUCACAAAGAAAUUGAUUCAGAUUCACAGAAUGAAUGAGUCGUAGUUCUAGGAUUGACCACCAUUUUCCAAUAAUUUAAAUCAAAUGCUAAUAACUGAUAAAGAAACUUGUUCAACAAUUGUGAACAUUUUUGGAAGCUUGAGUGUUGAAUUGGGCUCAGUAUUGAAGCCUCACAGUUACACCAUACCCAUUGGUAGAAAACAAGGAAGUGAGAGACAA